AGAGGGUGGUUGGGGGAUGGUUUGGUCCUGUGUCUAUUGAGUGUUCAGAUAAUUUCGGCCAUAGGCCACAAACGCGGCUCCGAUUAGCGGUUGUUUAUCGUAUCCAAAUGACGGUUGGAGUUUGUUUGUUUCAGUAGCGUCCGAAGGCUGUGAUUGUGUUCUGUGUUGUCGAGUGAUUGGAAAUUCAGUGGUUUUUGGCAUCAACAUCGACAUUCCUCAGGGCCUGGAAGUAGCUAAGGGUUACGUCGUCUUCUGGGGGUUCUUUCAACUGUUAAAAAGUCCAUGAGGAGGUCGUCAAGACGAGGUUUAUGGUCUGCGAGGAAACAAGACGGCGGAGGGACGCUCGAUGACGUCAGACCUUCCCUGAUCUCGAACAGACAGCGAAUGACGUCACGACGUCUCAUCAUAUCGGGGAAAUGAUGGAAAUCCCCUUGGUUCGACUCCUCCUGACCAACCACCGCUCACAUCUGACUCCUUCAGGCCUGUUGUAAGUUUUACACACACACACACACCGCCCUCCCCCACCCCCCAUUUUUUUUUUUUACUACGAUGAAAUUGUCGUUAGCCAAAGCCCUUGCCUUCCUCUGAGGGCUUGGUACCGCCAUUGGUGCAUCAUGCCCCUUACGCCCAGACUAUAUUGUUGGAACAGAACAUAUUCCAGGGAAUUCAUCUAAAGAGACAAUAUUCCAGUCGACAGGAGACGUUUUUCAACUUUCUUUAAAAGAUAAACAUCUAACUAACGCGUUUAUGUGUGUGUGUGUUUGAGACCGCGCGCACGUAGUUUACAUUCCUCCAUGGCCACAGCUUCAAAGCACAAACAAGACUGCAGAGCUCCUCAACAUUUGCAAAGUAUUAGCAUAUAACCUGGAAGCUGGAUUCCAGGAUCCAAUAAUGCUGGAGCCUUCAACGGCGAAGAAGAACAAACAUCAGCAGAGACGCAGCCACAAGACGCUGAUCCUGCACUCUGACGACCCUCCUAUGUCGGUAUCAAAUACAAUGAGUUUCUAAUUCAAUGAAAUUUCAGGCUAAAAAGCCAAGCGCUGGGAAACACACUCGGCCACUCACCGCUUCAGAUAGUGAAAGGAGGGAGUUGGAGAGGUUGGACAGCAGGAUAAAGAGCUCAAGAAAAUAGAGGAGAUGAAGUCCAAAAAUCUAAAACCUGGGAGAAAAUCACACAGUUGUAUUAAGGAGGGAUAGUUAAAGAGGUUGGACAGUAAGACUGAAGGAAGGAAGCGGGAAUGGCGAAAAGUAAAAGGCUAAAAAGUGGAUAACUAAGCUAAUGACACAACCAACAAUGUAUUAGCAAGAUCACUCAUUGCUGACCAGAUUCAGGUAAAAAAAUGGUACUAGGAUUCUGAAAUUUUUGUUGAUUUAGACAAUUUCAGAAGAAUAUAAGUCGAAAAAAAGGAAGUUUGUAAUUGGUAGUAAAUAUUAUAUGUAAUAAACAAAAACAUUUCUUACGAAAAUACUCGCUAAUAAAACUACAAAAGCAUAUACAGACUUCAUUCAUUACAACAUUAUGUAGAGUUCAAAGUCAAGCACUGACAUAUAACCAUUCCCAAAGCACCUGCCUCAUCCAUAAGAUAUUCUGGUUCACUUCCUCUGGGAAAGAGCCACGAAAUCCUCGGAGGCUCUCCUCCGAAGAUAAAAUAGCGGAAGGUGUUGAAUAAAGAGGUCAUUAUAACCCUUCUUGGGCCAUUGAGGACCACCACGAGGCCUUCAGCAGAUCAGAGGGUCGAGGAGGGAGGAAAAACACAGCAAAACAAGAGGCGGUGGUGUAGGAGGAGAUUCGCAAAUAGAACAACUUUCAAAUAACAGACGAAAUAAGCAUAGAUCUACUAAACACAUGGGCGUACUUUGGAAAGCAUCUAUCAGAGGUGAAAGAAAAAUUUCAAAUUACUCCUAUCGUCCCAAUAUUCUAGAAGCAGACAUUAGCUUGACUCUGCAGGCAGACCCUAGACCUAGUGUUCUUUGUUGUUAUAAAUUUUAGUCAGCGACUAGAUAAGUGGAUGAAGCACUGGUUAGGGCUGCCACACAGUCCACGACUUGUAUUCAACAUGUUUGUGAUGUGAGAGUAACAAUUUACAGAUGUAUGCUUAUGACAUGUUUUACUGCAGUGUGGAAAUACACUAGGAAAUACACUAAGUCCAUAUAGAAACUGUCAAUCCAUCUUUUAAAGGACCCACCUCUCCUUUUCCAGAACUAACUCCUUUUCCACGACCCACCCCUCUUUACCAGGACUAAACCAUCCUCGUAGAGGACCUAAAUCUCCUUUCACAAGACCAACCUUUCCUUUUCCAGAACCAACCCCUUCUUUUCAAGGACACACCCCCUUCCUUUCCAAGACACACCCUUCCUUUAUCCAAGACACGCCCCUCCAUUUCCAGGACAGACUCCUCCUCCUUCCGGACCAAUCGUUUCUUUUCCAGGACCUCCCCUCCCUUUCCACGUACACUCCCCUAUUCCAAGAUUAACCUCUUCUUUUCCAGGACCCAUCCCUCCGUUACUAAAACCCACCACUCCUUUUAGAGGACGCACCUUUUCCAUAAUGCACCCCUCCUUGUCCAGUACCCAGCCUCAUUUUUUAGAACGCAGCUCUUCUCUUCCAAGACCCACCGUUCCUUUCCCAUGACCUACCCACCCAUUUGAAUUACAUAUCCAACCUUUUUCAGGACCUACUCCGUCUUUCCCAGGAUAUACCCCUCCUUUUCCAAGACCAUCCCUUCCUUUUCCUGAGCCCAGCCCUCUUUUUUCAGGGCCCACUCUUUCUUUUCCAGGACAAACUCAUCCUAUUUCAGAAUCCCACUCCACCCCAGACUCCAUAAAACUGCUUCCUUGCGCAAUUCAUAACAGUCUUCCACUCGGAGGCUGAGACCGUCCCUUCCACAUGGCUGCUAUAUCGGACGAAGCUGCUCUUCUGGGUGCCUCGUUGUUGUCAGCAAUAAAACCCUACCCCUCAUCUGGAACUGCUGACAGUAUGUCCACCGCCUUCCAUAUUGGAUUUUAUUAAACCCCCUCUCCCUCCUCGCUCUCUCCUACCAUUCCCUUCCUAACCCACAUUCCC